AAAUCAGUAUAAGUAGGUACCAUGCAAUAUUUGGGACAUACCUAGACUAAAA
rnacentral:miRNA from 1 species